rnacentral:lncRNA from 1 species
GCUUUUUUGCACGUGUGGCUCCUACGUGAGUCCUGCUAUUCAAAGAUGGAUCCUGCUGGUAUUGGCUACAGUCAGUUCUCCCAUGAUUCUUAGAGGAGUGUGAAAUAUCUAAAUGAAAUGCUUGAAAGCAGAGAAAAAGUAAGAAAAUUGUGAGUCUCCACCAACAAAACCAUCUGCCAAGAUAACUGAAUUUGCUGCCAUAGACAGGAAAUAUAAAUGUCCAAGUGACAACUUUCUUGAUUGUCUACUGGUGUCACAAAAAUAUCUUUUGACUCCCCAAGUGAAGACUGAUUUUCCUGCUUCUUGAUCGUCUGCUGUAAUACCUAGCAGAGUGCUGGGCCCCAAAUACUUCCGAAAUGAAUCACUACAUGCUGAAGACGGUGAAAAGAUUUAAAACAAAAAUCAUCCUGAAGCUCUUCUGGCAAAAGGUCAACUGGAAUUUAUGACAAAUGUCAGUAGCGGAGGACAAGAUAUGGGUGUUGUUCCCAGAUAUGAAGGGGAGAUGACACCAACACAGAGAAAUAGUUGCAACAUGGCAGAGAAGCCCUGCUCCUUGUGUUCAUUCAAGACUCAAGUUCUCUCAAAGUCCUUUUUUCUGACAAUGCCAAGGGCACUGUCAUCACCUGCAAGGUCUAUGCUGGAUUCCACUUUGCGGGGAUGGAUUUCCACCUUGCUGUUGGCAAGGGGAGUAAGCAAGCUCAAGCUCAAGACCUCACAGAUCACUUCUCUUCAAUUCCAUCAGCGAGAACUUGUGUAGGAGUGAGUAUUACAGCCACUCUUCCUCUUUAUUGACUACAUGGUACCCCCCAGCCUCCUAAGAAGUGGAAAAACAAGGAAUAAUCCUCAAGUCAGGUGGAGUGUGAAGAAACCUGAUCAUUCUAAGCAUUCACCAACAUCAUCAUACAAAUGGUAAUUGUGUAGCUACUGCGUGUGAUGCAUUGCUGCAUGGUGUGUAAUUUCUAGGGCUCUACAGUUGUUCAACCACAUCCCCAGAGACUGACAUGAAGAGUAUACACCCUACAGUAUAAGAACACAGACAGACAGACAGACAGACAGAAAGAAAG